UACGGAGGGUGCGAGCGUUGUUCGGAAUUAUUGGGCGUAAGCGCGCGUAGGCGGCUCUUUAAGUCCCUUGGUGAAAGGCCGGAGCUCAACCCUGAGCAUGCCGGGGAUACUGGGGAGCUGGAGACAGGCAGAGGCCAGUGGAAUUCCGGGUGUAGCGGUGGAAUGCGUAGAGAUCCGGAAGAACACCGGAGGCGAAGGCGGCUGGCUGAGCCUGAUCUGACGCUGAGGUGCGAAAGCGUGGGGAGCGAACAGG
rnacentral:misc_RNA from 1 species